CUCUGCAUUCUCUCUCUGGGUGCUUGCUCUUGGGAUGGAGCUGCCAUGCUAUCUGGAUCAUGUCUUAAAAGAAAAAAGGGCAUCUGGAAAGAUAGAAACAAGCUGGGAGUAUCGAUCGAUGCCCAUAUCCAGCAUAGAAGCAAUUACAGCAACCAGACCUUCCACCAUCUGCACCCCAUAAAGAAUUUUGGUCUAUACUUCCAGAGGGAUAAAGAAUAAGGAAACUUCCAAUGAAGAGUAGGGGAUAUGGAACUCUGGUAGCGGUAAUUGUACCCCUCUUAUACCAUAAUCUUGUCAGUCAUUAUUAAAUCACUAAUAACAAACAUAAAAAAAAAAAACAUCAAGCAUGCAAAACAUGUGAUUCACUGCUGAGUAACCUCCUGGCUUAUCUGCUUUAUUAUUAAAGUAACCCUUUGAUUGACUAUA